AUUGAACGCUGGCGGCAGUCCUAACACAUGCAAGUCGAGCGGUGCGGCGGACGGGUGAGUAAUGACUAGGUAUCUGCCUGGUAGUGGGGGAUAACGUCCGGCAACGGGCGCUAACACCGCAUUCUUUCAGAUGAGCAUAGGUCGGAUGAGGUAGUUGGUGGGGUAAAGGCCUACCAAGGCGACGAUCCGUAACUGGGCUGAGAGGAUGAUCAGUCACACUGGAACUGAGACACGGUCCAGACUCCUACGGGAGGCAGCAGUGGGGAAGAUUGGACAAUGGGCGAAAGCCUGAUGCAGCCAUGCCGCGUGUGUGAAGAAGGUCUUCGGAUUGUAAAGCACUUUAAGUUGGGAGGCGUUACCAGCAGAAUAAGCACCGGCGAACUUCGUGCCAGCCGCCGCGGUAAUAC
rnacentral:rRNA from 1 species